rnacentral:rRNA from 1 species
AGAGUUUGAUCCUGGCUCAGGACGAACGCUGGCGGCGCGCCUAACACAUGCAAGUCGAACGAGCGAGAGAGAGCUUGCUUUCUCGAGCGAGUGGCGAACGGGUGAGUAACGCGUGAGGAACCUGCCUCAAAGAGGGGGACAACAGUUGGAAACGACUGCUAAUACCGCAUAAGCCCACGGCUCGGCAUCGAGCAGAGGGAAAAGGAGCAAUCCGCUUUGAGAUGGCCUCGCGUCCGAUUAGCUAGUUGGUGAGGUAACGGCCCACCAAGGCGACGAUCGGUAGCCGGACUGAGAGGUUGAACGGCCACAUUGGGACUGAGACACGGCCCAGACUCCUACGGGAGGCAGCAGUGGGGAAUAUUGCACAAUGGGGGAAACCCUGAUGCAGCGACGCCGCGUGGAGGAAGAAGGUCUUCGGAUUGUAAACUCCUGUUGUUGAGGAAGAUAAUGACGGUACUCAACAAGGAAGUGACGGCUAACUACGUGCCAGCAGCCGCGGUAAAACGUAGGUCACAAGCGUUGUCCGGAAUUACUGGGUGUAAAGGGAGCGCAGGCGGGAAGACAAGUUGGAAGUGAAAUCUAUGGGCUCAACCCAUAAACUGCUUUCAAAACUGUUUUUCUUGAGUAGUGCAGAGGUAGGCGGAAUUCCCGGUGUAGCGGUGGAAUGCGUAGAUAUCGGGAGGAACACCAGUGGCGAAGGCGGCCUACUGGGCACCAACUGACGCUGAGGCUCGAAAGUGUGGGUAGCAAACAGGAUUAGAUACCCUGGUAGUCCACACCGUAAACGAUGAUUACUAGGUGUUGGAGGAUUGACCCCUUCAGUGCCGCAGUUAACACAAUAAGUAAUCCACCUGGGGAGUACGACCGCAAGGUUGAAACUCAAAGGA